rnacentral:rRNA from 1 species
CAGCAGCCGCGGUAAUACGUAGGUGGCAAGCGUUGUCCGGAAUUAUUGGGCGUAAAGCGCGCGCAGGUGGUUUAAUAAGUCUGAUGUGAAAGCCCACGGCUCAACCGUGGAGGGUCAUUGGAAACUGUUAAACUUGAGUGCAGGAGAGAAAAGUGGAAUUCCUAGUGUAGCGGUGAAAUGCGUAGAGAUUAGGAGGAACACCAGUGGCGAAGGCGGCUUUUUGGCCUGUAACUGACACUGAGGCGCGAAAGCGUGGGGAGCAAACAGGAUUAGAUACCCCGGUAGUCCCUGUCUCUUAUAU